GACGAACGCUGGCGGCGUGCCUAAUACAUGCAAGUAGGACGCAGUUGCGAACGGGUGAGUAACGCGUAGGUAACUGCCUCUUAGAGGGGGAUAACUCUUGGAACCGAUAGCUAAUACCGCCUACUAGUAGAUGGACCUGCGUUGUAUUAGCUAGUGGGUAGGGUAAUGGCCUACCUAGGCGACGAUACAUAGCCGACCUGAGAGGGUGAUCGGCCACACUGGAACUGAGACACGGUCCAGACUCCUACGGGAGGCAGCAGUGGGGAAUAUUGCACAAUGGGCGCAAGCCUGAUGCAGCCAUGCCGCGUGAAUGAAGAAGGCCUUCGGGUUGUAAAGUACUUUCAGCGGAGAGCGGUACCCGCAGAAGAAGCAACGGCUAACUCCGUGCCAGCAGCCGCGGUAAUAC
rnacentral:rRNA from 1 species